CGGCCCCGGCGCUCCUGCCCCCAGGAGAAGUUGUGAGGAGCGGCAGCCCAUGGACAGGCAGGGGACCCUGGAGCUCGUGUCCUCUGGGGCCAGUGCUUGACCAGAAAGAGGGAACCUGAGGGGAAAUGGCAGUGGGAGGGAAUGAGUAAUACCAGGCAGACCGGGGGCCGCGCUAAGUCCUUCAGCUCUGUCUCCAAACUUAGACCCUGAGCAAUGGACCCAGGCUUCCAGAGACAGCAUUUGGACAGCGGCACCUAGUACUCAAUACAGAGCCGCGCUCUACCCCAGCUGAUGCCGCAGAUAAAGAGGCCAAUGUUCUCGAUAAUAGGAGGUGUUACGUGUGGUAGCUUGAAGCAUGUGAGGUAAGGGAGGAUGCUUGUUACAGGUGU